UUAAGUUGCAGGGUAUAGACCCGAAACCCGGUGAUCUAGCCAUGGGCAGGUUGAAGGUUGGGUAACACUAACUGGAGGACCGAACCGACUAAUGUUGAAAAAUUAGCGGAUGACUUGUGGCUGGGGGUGAAAGGCCAAUCAAACCGGGAGAUAGCUGGUUCUCCCCGAAAGCUAUUUAGGUAGCGCCUCGUGAAUUCAUCUCCGGGGGUAGAGCACUGUUUCGGCAAGGGGGUCAUCCCGACUUACCAACCCGAUGCAAACUGCGAAUACCGGAGAAUGUUAUCACGGGAGACACACGGCGGGUGCUAACGUCCGUCGUGAAGAGGGAAACAACCCAGACCGCCAGCUAAGGUCCCAAAGUCAUGGUUAAGUGGGAAACGAUGUGGGAAGGCCCAGACAGCCAGGAUGUUGGCUUAGAAGCAGCCAUCAUUUAAAGAAAGCGUAAUAGCUCACUGGUCGAGUCGGCCUGCGCGGAAGAUGUAACGGGGCUAAACCAUGCACCGAAGCUGCGGCAGCGACGCUUAUGCGUUGUUGGGUAGGGGAGCGUUCUGUAAGCCUGUGAAGGUGUGCUGUGAGGCAUGCUGGAGGUAUCAGAAGUGCGAAUGCUGACAUAAGUAACGAUAAAGCGGGUGAAAAGCCCGCUCGCCGGAAGACCAAGGGUUCCUGUCCAACGUUAAUCGGGGCAGGGUGAGUCGACCCCUAAGGCGAGGCCGAAAGGCGUAGUCGAUGGGAAAC
rnacentral:rRNA from 1 species